UGGUGUCGAAUGCCCACCCUGGUUGGUAUUCCACCUCGAGCGAGCGUUGGCACUGGCAUUAGUAAAAUUACAUUCAGGAUGCCAUGUGAGGUGAGGUGGAACACCAACCAGUGUAGGCAUUGGAAGCCA
rnacentral:pre_miRNA from 1 species